rnacentral:rRNA from 1 species
UACGUAGGGUGCAAGCGUUAUUCGGAAUUACUGGGCGUAAAGCGUGCGCAGGCGGUUUGUUAAGUCUGUUGUGAAAUCCCCGAGCUCAACUUGGGAAUUGCAAUGGAUACUGGCAGGCUGGAGUAUGGUAGAGGAAGGUGGAAUUCCCGGUGUAGCAGUGAAAUGCGUAGAGAUCGGGAGGAACACCAGUGGCGAAGGCGGCCUUCUGGACCAAUACUGACGCUGAGGCACGAAAGCGUGGGGAGCAAACAGG